GGCGCUAUGGUGUAACUAGACAGCACUCCAGUCUUUGACACUGGCAGUACAGGUGCAAAUCCUGUUAGCGCUUCCA
rnacentral:tRNA from 1 species